AGUUACUGAAUGAACCAACACGUGAAGUCAUCUUUUCUCCCCUCCUGUUUCUCAUCACAUGCGGAACUAGCGCCUUUGUUUCACAAUACCAUAUAAACUCCUCGUAGCUUCUGGUAUAUGAGAUUGCCACACAUUUUUUUAGUCCUGCUCUGCAAUGGGUUAAGUAGAAUUUUGCUCCAAAACCAAUGUCACGAUUCCCUGCAAAGAAUCUUGUGAACCUGUAGAUUUCUACCCUCCUAAGCCCUGUGAUGAUUUUACAAAGAAGCAUACGCAAUGCGAAAGGACAGAUAAGCCUUGUCUACAAGAAAAUCUUAGCACAGAUUUUUCUUUUUCAACUCUCUUCUCCCAACACUCCUGAAACACCUCUGCUCCACACAAUUUUUCAUUCUGUCUUUGUCCUGCACAUUACUGUGCAGGCCGCUUAGGUGGCAAGUCAUUAUAGUAAUCUUUUUCUUUUCCUUCACAAAAAAAAAGAGGACAAACUUUCAGAGGCUUAUUUUUGUCUCCUGCUCACUUCUCUGACAAAAGAAGUAUAGAUAUGCACAUGGCAGACAGAAAGAAGUCUGCCUGGGAAGCCCCAGGACCUGGGUCUGCACUGUUUCCUGCGAAAGCUGGGGUAAUCUUUUCAAACAGCCCCGCAGUGGUGUCUGCUGAGCUCCUGUGAGCGGACAAGGUUUGUAAACAGGCAAGACCUAGGGAACUCUGUUCCUUCUAAUAUCCAGGGCCUCCACCAGCUUUGUUUGCCAGUGAUGGAUAAAAACCAAACCUCCAAAGGGCUCAAAUAUUCAGGGGGAAAAAAGGAGAAAAAAGCAGUAUAUUCAUAGCAUGUUUUCCUCAGUGUCUGCCUCACGCACACUUCUUAUGAGAGAGAAGAAUAUUGCCUGGUGUAAGAUGUUCACCCACCUUUUGCCCCCAGACGUCUGUACUUAGAACAAGCUUGGAGGAAAGUUAGCAUCGGUAUCAUCCCCUUCUGAUGGCUUAACAGAAAAGCAAAAUAGCACCAUAAGGCCUCAGGAGAGAAAUGAUUUUAAAGCAUGUUAAAACCACAAAUGCCAUGCAAAUAGAUGCUACAGAAAAACAGAGAGCACUUUGAGAACUAAUGACCUCAGAGCUUGCAGGUCUCAAGUAGCCCCUGUAAAAGGUCAAUUAAUACAGGAUGGAGGAUUAACGAGCAGGAGCUGCUGCUGCCCCUUCCAGGUGUAAGUUGAAGAAGCUGAGAUUCCCCAUUGAUGAUGCUUAAGAAACAUCAGAAUUGGGUUCAGAAGUUCAGGAAAGCUCCUCAUCCAUUGUCAUGGCACGUGUGCUUUGGGAAGGCCCACACUCUCAGCUAGAUCCUGGGCCAUCACAUCUUCUCUCUCUUUUCUUUUUUUUAAAUUAAUUGCAGUAACAUUGGAUUAUAAA
rnacentral:lncRNA from 1 species